AUUGAACGCUGGCGGCAGGCCUAACACAUGCAAGUCGAACGAGUGGCGGACGGGUGAGUAAUUUCUGGGAAACUGCCUGAUGGCGGGGGAUAACUACUGGAAACGGUAGAUAAUACCGCAUACCAUCAGAUGUGCCCAGAUGGGAUUAGCGAGUGGGUGGGGUAAAGGCCUACCAAAGCGACGAUCCGUAACUGGUCUGAGAGGAUGACCAGUCACACGGGAACUGAGACACGGUCCAGACUCCUACGGGAGGCAGCAGUGGGGAAUAUUGGACAAUGGGCGAAAGCCUGAUCCAGCCAUGCCGCGUGUGUGAUGAAGGUCUUCGGAUUGUAAAGCACUUUAAGUAGGGAGGCGUUACCAACAGAAUAAGCACCGGCUAACUACGUGCCAGCAGCCGCGGUAAUAC
rnacentral:rRNA from 1 species